rnacentral:rRNA from 1 species
GAUCCUGGCUCAGAAUCAACGCUGGCGGCGUGCCUCAGACAUGCAAGUCGAACGCGAAAGGCUCCUUCGGGGGCCGAGUAGAGUGGCGCACGGGUGAGUAACACGUAGGUAAUCUACCUCUGGGUGGGGAAUAACGACCGGAAACGGUCGCUAAUACCGCAUAAUGCAGCGGCACCACAUGGUGACAGUUGUUAAAGCGGGGGAUCGUAAGACCUCGCGCCUUGAGAUGAGCCUGCGGCAGAUUAGCUAGUUGGCAGGGUAACGGCCUACCAAGGCGACGAUCUGUAGCCGGCCUGAGAGGGCGGACGGCCACACUGGCACUGACAUACGGGCCAGACUCCUACGGGAGGCAGCAGUCGGGAAUUUUGGGCAAUGGGCGAAAGCCUGACCCAGCAACGCCGCGUGAAGGAUGAAGCUUCUCGGAGUGUAAACUUCAUAAGAAUGGGACGAAUAAGGAGGGGUUAACACCCCCUUUGAUGACGGUACCAUUUGUAAGCUCCGGCUAACUCCGUGCCAGCAGCCGCGGUAAUACGGGGGGAGCAAGCGUUGUUCGGAUUUACUGGGCGUAAAGGGCGCGUAGGCGGCGCAACAAGUCACUUGUGAAAUCUCCGGGCUUAACCCGGAGCGGCCAAGUGAUACUGUCGUGCUAGAGUGCGGAAGGGGCUACUGGAAUUCUCGGUGUAGCGGUGA